AUCACAUGUGAAACGACUCUCGGCAACGGAUAUCUCGGCCCUCGCAUCGAUGAAGAACGUAGCGAAAUGCGAUACUUGGUGUGAAUUGCAGAAUCCCGUGAACCAUCGAGUUUUUGAACGCAAGUUGCGCCCGAAGCCGUCAGGCCGAGGGCACGCCUGCU
rnacentral:rRNA from 1 species